rnacentral:rRNA from 1 species
GAACGCUGGCGGCAUGCCUUACACAUGCAAGUCGAACGGCAGCAUAGAGAGCUUGCUCUCUGAUGGCGAGUGGCGAACGGGUGAGUAAAGCAUCGGAACGUACCGUGUAGUGGGGGAUAACGUAGCGAAAGUUACGCUAAUACCGCAUACGCACUGAGGUGGAAAGCAGGGGAUCGCAAGACCUUGCGCUAUACGAGCGGCCGAUGUCAGAUUAGCUAGUUGGUAGGGUAAAGGCCUACCAAGGCGACGAUCUGUAGCGGGUCUGGAGAGGAUGAUCCGCCACACUGGGACUGAGACACGGCCCAGACUCCUACGGGAGGCAGCAGUGGGGAAUUUUGGACAAUGGGGGCAACCCUGAUCCAGCCAUGCCGCGUGAGUGAAGAAGGCCUUCGGGUUGUAAAGCUCUUUCGGCCGGGAAGAAAUCGCACAGGCUAAUACUCUGUGUGGAUGACGGUACCGGCAUAAGAAGCACCGGCUAACUACGUG